rnacentral:lncRNA from 1 species
UAAUUUUUCAUGACGUGCCAGAGAACACAUGCUUCAAUUUUUCCCCUCUUAUUGGAAAAAACUUGUUAUGGCAAAUAAAUUCACCAAAAAAUUAAUUUAAAUUUGCAAAGUGGUUAUUGUCGCAAAUAUGUCUUUCCGUUCACUUGUCUUAGAGCAUUUUAUUUAAUUUAGGUAAUAUGUGCAGUAAAGCUUAUCUUGCAAAAUUGCUUAAUUAGGACCGGCG